AGCAGCCGCGGUAAUUCCAGCUCCAAUAGCGUAUAUUAAAGUUGUUGCAGUUAAAAAGCUCGUAGUUGAAUUUCGGGAUCAGUACGCUGGUCGUGCCUUUGGUAUGUACUGGUGUCACUGAUUCCUCCCUUCUGAAGAACCGUUAUGCCAUUUAUUUGGUGUGGCGGGGAAUCAGGACUGUUACUUUGAAAAAUUAGAGUGUUUAAAGCAGGCUCGCGCUUGAAUACAUUAGCAUGGAAUAAUGAAAUAGGACGUUUGAUCUUAUUUUGUUGGUUUCUAGGAUCGACGUAAUGAUUAAUAGGGAUAGUUGGGGGCAUUAGUAUUCAAUUGUCAGAGGUGAAAUUCUUGGAUUUAUUGAAGACUAACUACUGCGAAAGCAUUUGCCAAGGAUGUUUUCAUUAAUCAAGAACGAAAGUUAGGGGAUCGAAGACGAUCAGAUACCGUCGUAGUCUUAACCAUAAACUAUGCCGACUAGGGAUCGGACGAUGUUAUUUUUAAUGACUCAUUCG
rnacentral:rRNA from 1 species